AAGAAAUUAUUGUUUCAAAAUGGAUUUGGACUGCAAUUAAAAACAAAAUCUACCAAGACUUUGAUUUCAAAAUUAUGCUUCCCAAGCAACUACACUUAACAUGUAUAUUUACGUUGAUAAUGAAAAAUCUUUUAUCGGCCUUUGGUUGAAGAUUAAUUUUGUCCAACUGUCUGAGUGUGAACACGCAUCAUAACAUGCAUCAUUGAAUUUAUAUUCUUAUUAGUAACUGUAACUAAACCUUGGCCAUGGUUUAAAAACAACUGCUUCCAUCAACAUCCUUWACAAUAGUUGAUUUCAUGGUAACAAGAGUAACAAGUGACUCCUGACGAACACCAACUACAUUUCUGUCUGAAGAUCACUGUUGUUGCAAUCACUUGAACAAUAAUUCUAGGGAUGGAUAUUAGAAAUGUUAAUCACGGUUAUCCGAAGAAUCAUACGAGCUUACUUAAUUCAGUAGAACAGUCCGUUGAAACCCAAUAUUUACAAAUAUUACAGUCUUUACUGCUCAAGUUCUGGAAUCUACAUAUAUCUACAUUUAAACCCAUAUAAACUAAAAAUAUGAGGACCAACUCUGUACACGAAAAACAUUUAACAUUUUUAUACGAUUAUAAAU